rnacentral:tRNA from 1 species
AGAGGUAUAGCUCAGUGGUAGGGCAUUUGCCUAGUAUGCAUGAGGCCCUGAAUUCAAUCCCCAGUACCACAA